UCUAGGGGGUGUAGCAAUACACCACCGGCGGACGGGUGCGUAACACGUGGGAAUAUACCUUUCGGUACGGAACAACUGAGGGAAACUUCAGCUAAUACCGUAUACGUCCUAACGGAGAAAGAUUUAUCGCCGAAGGAUUAGCCCGCGCUCGAUUAGCUAGUUGGUGAGGUAAUGGCUCACCAAGGCUACGAUCGAUAGCUGUUCUGAGAGGAAGAUCAGCCACACUGGGACUGAGACACGGCCCAGACUCCUACGGGAGGCAGCAGUUGGGAAUCUUGGACAAUGGGGGAAACCCUGAUCCAGCCAUGCCGCGUGAGUGAUGAAGGCCUUCGGGUUGUAAAGCUCUUUUACCCGGGAAGAUAAUGACUGUACCGGGAGAAUAAGCUCCGGCUAACUUCGUGCCAGCAGCCGCGGUAAUACGAAGGGGGCUAGCGUUGUUCGGAAUUACUGGGCGUAAAGCGCGCGCAGGCGGUUUCUCAAGUCAGUGGUGAAAGCCCGGAGCUCAACUCCGGAACUGCCAUUGAAACUGUGAGACUUGAGGACGAGAGAGGUGAGUGGAAUUCCCAGUGUAGAGGUGAAAUUCGUAGAUAUUGGGAAGAACACCGGUGGCGAAGGCGGCUCACUGGCUCGUUUCUGACGCUCAGGCGCGACAGCGUGGGGAUCAAACAGGAUUAGAUACCCUGGUAGUCCACGCCGUAAACGAUGAACGCUAGCCGUUGGGUAGCUUGCUAUUCAGUGGCGCAGCUAACGCAUUAAGCGUUCCGCCUGGGGAGUACGGCCGCAA
rnacentral:rRNA from 1 species